GACGCGGGGCUCGAACUCACGGACCGCGAGAUCAUGACCUGAGCCAAAGUCGGCCUCCUAACCGACUGAGCCACCCAGGCGCCCCUAUUCUUAUGCUUCUUUAUUACCAGGAAUAUAAAUACGCCUCAGACUUCCAUAUUAAAAACUCCAUAUUAACAUUAGCUCUGUGUGUGGCCUUUUAGGAGACACAACCAGUCCACGUUUGUUUUUUUUUUUUUUACAAAGUGAAUCUUAAAGCAGUGGGGCUGCGGGAGAGCAGCACAGAGAGGUGAGAACAGGACAGCACGGAUGCCACGAGCCACUCUCCACCAAAUUCCUCCGUUCUCUAUGCUGCCCUCUGACCACUUGCCAUUCAGUGUUGAAUCCAAAGGGAAACAGCUUCUUGUGAGCUCUGAACCAGUUGUGACAGCCCUACAGACCGAACCUCCAACCUCCCGUUCCGGGGGACCCGGGGGAGGGUAGCACAAGUAUGCUAAGGGCCAUAGAGGUGAGCGUUCUGGUCUCAGCUCUGGAGGCAACUAGCUGCAUGACCUUGGCCGAGCAUAUUUCCCCAUAUGUUGACCUCGAUUUCCACACCCAUAAAGUGGGAAAAUCAGACUAGAUGGCCAUUGUGGUCAUCCCCAGCCCUAAAAUUCUAUGAUUUUGGUGCACAGUGACUGUGGAGUAUUUUGGACUCAAAGUUUCCUGGAAGGAGAUAUUCAAAAGGAGAAACUUCAGAGACUCUUACACACUUAACCUCUCAGAUCCACCACGCAGGCGUGUAACGUGAGCUAAAUGCCACUCCCUCUCUCUUCACAACACAGCGGACCGCGCAUCGUACCCGCCACACUCAGUAUUCCUGAUGUUCUGCUCACCUUCAUGCCUUUGUUUCUAUGAUUCCUUCACACGAUGCAGGCUAUUUCUGCUGCUGCCAUCACACCUGAGGGACUCCUUGCCUGGACUCCGUGAGUUAUGUCUUAGCUCUGCGACAAGGGUACCGAUCACAGAGAACUGCGGGAAAGGGAGAGAUUUCUGACCACCACCACCACCACCGCCAUCAUUGUCCUUGUCAUUGUCAUCAUCAUCAUCCUCACUGAGCCCUUGCAUGUGCAUGGCCCUGUGCUUAGUAGUUGGCAUGCGAGAUCCCAUUUCAUCUUGGAGAUAAACCGCCGUUAUCCCCAAUUUGCAGGAGAGCAAGAUGAGACUCAAGAGGUGGGAAGCAGGCAGUCUGCACACAGCUAGCGAUGGGAAAGCCGGGCUUCCAUGGGCCUGCCCUGGUCUCCACCGUGGCAUUCCUUCAUCCUUCAUGGCCGUGUUUCAGCACAACUUUCGAGUUGUUAACAAUUCGUUAUUCUGAAGGGAUACAUAAAUCUUCGUAAGAAAACCGACGGUACAGCAGGGAGAACAUGAAAAGUGAAGGUCUCCACCUGCAGGCACACACUUUUAUGUCGGUGUACUUCCAAGAUAUAACUGCUAUUAAUAGUUUCAUGGGCAUUUUUCUAGAAGUAUUCAAAUGUAUAAAUAUAAAAGUAUAAAAUUUU